GGAUGUUGUCAUGCUUAAUCAUUUUAAUCUUAAUUGUUUCUAUCUUUGUUUUUAAUAAAAUAAUCAUGGGAUGUUUAUUAGUAAAACAAGGUUUUUGGAUCAAAUUGAGAAGAAAAUUGAAAGGGCCACUAUACCAUGAUUCGAAGAAGCCAUGGCGAGGUAUAAAAAUGGGCAGAGGUAGCUCACGUUAUCAUGCUUUCAACAUUAAAACUUACAUGGAAGGUGGCGGAGACUUUGAUGCAUAUGGAGUUCAUAUAGUAGUUAUCUGUUAUUCACGGAGUUAACUCAAAAACAUGGUAAUAAUAAUGCUUAAGAAGACUGAGCAUAUGGGCUUUAGGAAGACCAAUAAAGAGAUCCUUCAUGGACUCCUAGUUUGCAUUUGAACAUUGAACGCUAUUUGUUACUUGCUACAUUUCUUUUGCUAUUUGAGGCGUGUUGUCUAGACAUAUCCCGCUUGUGGGAAUCACAAUUAUUUGAAUUUCAUUUAGUAUG